UCCUUAUUCCAUAUAACAUCACUUCAAUUAAAAAUCCAUUGUAGUCUUGUUGGUUGUAUGUUGUUGUGGUGGUGGUGUCGCGGUCGUGAAGCCACCAGUACUGCUAAGGGGUUGAUGAGAAUAUUAAUAUGGUAGGGUAAGGUCGUGAUGUUGAAAACGCAUGAAGAAGAUGAAGAAAUUUUUUUUUUUUUUGGGUUAAAAUUUUUAUGUUUUUAACUUGGAGUUGAUGGUGUUUGGUCGAAUUAAUAAUUAAAGGGUAUUUUAGGAAUAAUGGUGGGUGGAAAAGUAGGAUUUUAAUUUUUCAAAUUUACAUAGUAGGUGAGAAAAUAGGACAGGUGGGUGGAAAUAGCAGCACUCUAUAUGUAUAACAAAUGUUAUAUAUAUAUACAGAGUGAGCAAAUUGUUGAUACAAACAUAAAUUAGGUGUUAAAAAAUAUUUAAUAUCUUAGUAUGACCUAUGAU
rnacentral:lncRNA from 1 species